ACAUCCAGCGAACUUGGCAGAGAUGCCUUGGUGCCUUCGGGAACGCUGAGACAGGUGCUGCAUGGCUGUCGUCAGCUCGUGUUGUGAAAUGUUGGGUUAAGUCCCGCAACGAGCGCAACCCUUAUCCUUUGUUGCCAGCGAUUCGGUCGGGAACUCAAAGGAGACUGCCGGUGAUAAACCGGAGGAAGGUGGGGAUGACGUCAAGUCAUCAUGGCCCUUACGAGUAGGGCUACACACGUGCUACGAUGGCGCAUACAAAGAGAAGCGACCUCGCGAGAGCAAGCGGACCUCAUAAAGUGCGUCGUAGUCCGGAUCGGAGUCUGCAACUCGACUCCGUGAAGUCGGAAUCGCUAGUAAUCGUGGAUCAGAAUGCCACGGUGAAUACGUUCCCGGGCCUUGUACACACCGCCCGUCACACCAUGGGAGUGGGUUGCAAAAGAAGUAGGUAGCUUAACCUCCGGGAGGGCGCUUACCACUUUGUGAUUCAUGACUGGGGUGAAGUCGUAACAAGGUAGGCGUAGUGCU
rnacentral:rRNA from 1 species